AAAUUGAAGAGUUUGAUCAUGGCUCAGAUUGAACGCUGGCGGCAGGCCUAACACAUGCAAGUCGAACGGUAACAGGAAGCAGCUUGCUGCUUUGCUGACGAGUGGCGGACGGGUGAGUAAUGUCUGGGAAACUGCCUGAUGGAGGGGGAUAACUACUGGAAACGGUGGCUAAUACCGCAUAACGUCGCAAGACCAAAGAGGGGGACCUUCGGGCCUCUUGCCAUCAGAUGUGCCCAGAUGGGAUUAGCUUGUUGGUGAGGUAACGGCUCACCAAGGCGACGAUCCCUAGCUGGUCUGAGAGGAUGACCAGCCACACUGGAACUGAGACACGGUCCAGACUCCUACGGGAGGCAGCAGUGGGGAAUAUUGCACAAUGGGCGCAAGCCUGAUGCAGCCAUGCCGCGUGUAUGAAGAAGGCCUUCGGGUUGUAAAGUACUUUCAGCGGGGAGGAAGGUGUUGCGGUUAAUAACCGCAGCAAUUGACGUUACCCGCAGAAGAAGCACCGGCUAACUCCGUGCCAGCAGCCGCGGUAAUACGGAGGGUGCAAGCGUUAAUCGGAAUUACUGGGCGUAAAGCGCACGCAGGCGGUCUGUCAAGUCGGAUGUGAAAUCCCCGGGCUCAACCUGGGAACUGCAUUCGAAACUGGCAGGCUUGAGUCUUGUAGAGGGGGGUAGAAUUCCAGGUGUAGCGGUGAAAUGCGUAGAGAUCUGGAGGAAUACCGGUGGCGAAGGCGGCCCCCUGGACAAAGACUGACGCUCAGGUGCGAAAGCGUGGGGAGCAAACAGGAUUAGAUACCCUGGUAGUCCACGCCGUAAACGAUGUCUACUUGGAGGUUGUGCCCUUGAGGCGUGGCUUCCGGAGCUAACGCGUUAAGUAGACCGCCUGGGGAGUACGGCCGCAAGGUUAAAACUCAAAUGAAUUGACGGGGGCCCGCACAAGCGGUGGAGCAUGUGGUUUAAUUCGAUGCAACGCGAAGAACCUUACCUGGUCUUGACAUCCACGGAAGAAUUCAGAGAUGGAU
rnacentral:rRNA from 1 species